GGCGCGACCCCCCCUCCCGCCGUCUCCCCCGGUUCCAGUUCUGCGCCUGCGCGGAGCCGUCUCCCCCCCCCCCCCCCCGCAAUGGCGGCUGUGGGGGGCGGGGCCUGCCCGGGGGGCGGGGCCGCGCUGGAGGAGGAGUGCGAGGUGGUGCGCGUGCGCGUCAAGGUGAGGGGCGGGGCUUCGCGGAGGGGCGGGGCCUCGGCGGGGGUGGGCAGGGCUGACUGUUGCGGGGGGGCGUGGCCAACGGGAGCCGGCGGGGUGGGCCAAUGAGAGGGCGUGCUCUGAGGCGCUUGUUGCCGUGCCAACGGGACGCGGCCGCCAUGUUGGGCCUGCUCGGAGCCGGGGUUGGGGGGGGGGGUCGGGUCUCCGGGGCUCGUCCCCGGUGCCCCCCCCGGUUACCGCCGCCCCGCCGCAGAAGAGCGAGGGGCUGCAGCCGCCCGAGUUCCGCUCCUUCGCCGUGGACCCGCAGAUCACAUCCCUGGACGUGCUGCAGCACAUCCUGGCCCGCGCCUUUGACCUGCAGGGGAAGAAGAGCUUCUCCAUCAGCUUUGCCGCCCGCGACCCCCAGGGCCAGGAGAGCUUCGUUCCGCUGCUGAGCGAUGGGGACUUGGCGGCCGCCUUCGCCUGCGCCCGGCCCGCGCUGCGCCUGCGCCUCGACGUGCGGCCCCCGGCUGAGAGCCCGCUGCUGGAGGACUGGGACAUCAUCAGCCCCCGGGAGGUGGCGGCGGUGGAGCCGCUCCCUGAGCGCCGCUCGCUGCUGGCUGCGGCUCUGCCCUUCACCCAGGCCCUGCUGGCGCAGGUUGGCCGGACGCUGGCCCGGGCUCAGGCCGCCCUGGCAUGGCCUGAGGGGUCCCCCCCCCUCACCCCCGCUGCCGCCCCCCCCCUUGUGCCCCACUGAGCGAUGCCGACCUCCGCACGUACCUGGGCCCCGGCGGGCGGCUGCUGCGGCCCCACGACCUGCGGCUCCACGUCUACCACGGCGGCGUCGAGCCUGGCCUGCGCAAGGUGGUGUGGCGAUACCUGCUGAACGUCUUCCCGGCGGGGCUCUCGGGGCAGGAGCGCUUGGCUCACCUGCGCCACAAGGCGGGCGAGUACGCGGCGCUGAAGGCGGCGCUGGCGGCGCGGGCGGCCCCGGCCGAGCUGGCGCUGGUGGCGGCCGCCGUGCGCAAGGACGUGGUGCGCACCGACCGCGGGCACCCCUACUUCGGCGGCCCCGAGGAGGGACACCCGCACUUGGCCGCGCUGCAGGCGCUGCUCACCACCUUCGCGCUGGGCCACCCGC
rnacentral:lncRNA from 1 species